CAGAGCACAAAUUCUACUAAGAAUCGCGUGAUAUUUUUUAAUCAGCAACGUUCGUGGCUGUCGCCGCUUGUUGCUCACUCAAUUGAUUAAGCGUCCCCCGAGGCCUGUUCUACAUAUAGAGUACAAUAAUACAAUAUUAUAUGUGGUACUACUCGCAUGCUUGUUUCCCCCGCGUUCGGCACAGAUUUCUUGCCUCCUCUCCUCUAUGGCAGAAAAUCUCCGGGAGCAAAGGUUUUCCCUCUCGAUUAAUGAAUGGCCCCACGUUUUUACUAGCUGCUACUGCUUGUCCCUGCUCUACGGCUACGGCUACCAGCUGUGUUCUGUUACUAUCAGCCAAAUAUACUACAUACAUAUAUGUAUAAAUAUUUUUACGAUUAUAUGUUCCCCCCUCCUUACACCCAUGCACGAGGUGGGUUUAUUUUUGGCUCUUCAUUAUGAUCGGAUUCCGUGACGUAGUAGUCUCUUUUUGCUUCUUUCUUGGCUUAUUAUCAAUCCACCGGCCCAGACAUUCGUCGGACCAGACACAGCCAAAAGAUGAACGUUUAAAUAUGUAUAAAGAUACUCGUAAAAUGUCUGUUUUCGGUUUAUUGUCAAGGCAAUGGGACAACCUUGAUCUUAUAGGUGCGAUAUGGCUGGAAAACGUUAAUUGUACAGAUUAUAUAAUAUAUAUGUACAUAUAUUUUACCCAUAUUCGUAACGUUUUUGUUCGAAUUUGCAAUUGGUUCCACCUCAUAUCAACAGCCUGCGAUAUACGUACAUACAUACGUACGAGGUCUAAUCAGUUAGACGGAACCGAUAAUGGUGACGUUUUCUCACUUCUUAUCAUACACAUAUUUUCGUGUGUGGUUCUUAACUGUUUUAUUUCGUUUGGGUGCUAUAUAAUUACUACAUACUACAUAAGGUACUCUAAGGUGUGUCACAAUUUUUCCGACUGGCCUUUUUUUUGAAACCCCACCUUUCCAUACAUCUGUAUGUAUAUGUCGGAUCGUAUAUUGUUCCCAAAGUAUAUUGGUCAGUGUGCUAUCUUCUACUGGCGUGGUAUUCCCUUACCAGUCUCCUUUGCCAGUCUUUUGUCCGUUAUUCUUGUACUAUCUUGCCUAUUCCAUUGCUGCGUGCUGUGAGGCCUUGCUCUCUCAAAGGAUUAACGGAUUACAUUGCUGGGUAGUUUCUGUCUUAGAUGCAUGCUUUAGAUGGAUUUGGAGUGAAAAACACUAUUUCCACGAUUGUGUAUCUCGAUCCGGUCCGAAACAUGCCAUUCCGUAAUGCAAAAGUAAUGCUAUUUAGAGGCAAUUUAAGUGGAUCGACACGUCUGUCAAGUGCCGAACCAAUCCAAAAUAGGCUCAGGGCACGUGUGUGCCGUGCCUAUGGAAAUAUGUAGCUUUAGAAUCGAAACGACGGGGAAUGAGUACUCGCACUGGCAUGUGCUGUUUGCACUCGUAUCUUCAUACUAUACUUGUGUAUGGCUCUCGCCAUCUCUUUUGGUUGUGCCAACAGAUGAUCGGGUCCAAAGUGCAAUCUUGACCAAUGCUGCUGCGGCGCUAAAGUGGAGCACAAAGCCGGCCUGGGGACAGCCACCAAGUCAAUCAUUCAGUCAGUCAGUCAGUCAGUCAGUCAGUCCGUGAGCCACUGGUCUCUACUGGUUGUCAUUAAUCCGAACCACACCACACCAGACACAUUGCUGACGCGCUUGGACUUUGCGUUGAAUGGGGCGUUUUAUGUAGACGAUGUAGUAAAUGAUUUAUAUGUACUUUCGUAUGCAUCCAAGCCUGAGCCCGAACACAAGUUUACGACUACUGCUGCGGGUCAAAAGCGACGGGUCUCAAUUAAUUUUAAUCCUUCAGCCAAUCAAAACUGAUUUGAUUGCUUUGAUUUGAUUUAUUUAUGGCUACUUUGUAAAUUAACUUUGAUCCUAGAGAAAUGUAUACUACGUUAUGUAUGCCGAAGCCGACGUUUAAGAUACCAGUAAAAGUUAUGAUCAAAUUUCAUUAACAACGAGA
rnacentral:sRNA from 1 species